UACGUAGGGGGCGAGCGUUGUCCGGAUUUAUUGGGCGUAAAGAGCGUGUAGGCGGUUCGGGAAGUCUGUCGUGAAAUCCUGAGGCUCAACCUCGGGCGUGCGAUGGAUACUGCCGGGCUAGAGGGUGGUAGAGGCGAGUGGAAUUCCCGGUGUAGCGGUGAAAUGCGCAGAUAUCGGGAGGAACACCAGUAGCGAAGGCGGCUCGCUGGGCCACACCUGACGCUGGGACGCGAAAGCUAGGGGAGCGAACAGG
rnacentral:rRNA from 1 species